ACUCCUACGGGAGGCAGCAGUGGGGAAUAUUGCACAAUGGGGAAACCCUGAUGCAGCCAUGCCGCGUGUGUGAAGAAGGCCUUCGGUUGUAAAGCACUUUCAGUAGGGAGGAAGGUAGUGUAGUUAACACCUGCACUAUUUGACGUUACCUACAGAAGAAGCACCGGCUAACUCCGUGCCAGCAGCCGCGGUAAUACGGAGGGGUGCGAGCGUUAAUCGGAAUUACUGGGCGUAAAGCGCAUGCAGGCGGCCUGUUAAGUCAGAUGUGAAAGCCCGGGGGCUUAACCUCGGAAUUGCAUUUGAAACUGGCAGGCUAGAGUCUUGUAGAGGGGGUAGAAUUUCAGGUGUAGCGGUGAAAUGCGUAGAGAUCUGAAGGAAUACCAGUGGCGAAGGCGGCCCCCUGGACAAAGACUGACGCUCAGAUGCGAAAGCGUGGGGAGCAAACAGGAUUAGAUACCCUGGUGACACAGAG
rnacentral:rRNA from 1 species